AGAUGGACAGUUUUAAAAACCUGAUGGCGGUGGCUGUCCUACAGUACAUGGUUCCCAGCCGCCACUACUUUUCCAGACGAGCCAUCCCUUCCCUGCACAACCAAUUGGCGGACAAAAUCAGGUGUGCACUGCAAAACUCCAUCUGUGGCAAGGUCAACAUAACCACAGAUACGUGGACUAGUAAGCACGGUUAGGGAUGCUAUAUCUCCCUAACUGCACACUGGGCAAAUGUAGUGGCGGCUGAGCCUGAGGCGGAUAGCAGUUUGGCGCAUGUCCUUCCG